AAAUUGAAGAGUUUGAUCAUGGCUCAGAUUGAACGCUGGCGGCAGGCCUAACACAUGCAAGUCGAGCGGCAGCGG
rnacentral:rRNA from 1 species